GUGCUUGCUUCGGCAGCACAUACACGAAAACCUGAAACGCUGCAGAGAUUAGCACGUCCCCUGUGCAAGGAGGACGCACACUUGCGUGAAGUGUUCCAUAUUUUC
ensembl:snRNA U6 U6 spliceosomal RNA